GCCCCCAUAGUUCAACGGAUAGAACAAGGGACUCCUAAGCCCUAGAUGGCUGUUCAAUUCUGCCUGGGGGCA
rnacentral:tRNA from 1 species